rnacentral:tRNA from 1 species
GUGGUGAAAUUGGCAGACACACCAGACUUAGGAUCUGGCGCCUCACGGCAUGGAGGUUCAAGUCCUCUCAUCCGCACCAUCU